GCGGACGGGUGAGUAAUGUCUGGGAAACUGCCUGAUGGAGGGGGAUAACUACUGGAAACGGUAGCUAAUACCGCAUAACGUCGCAAGACCAAAGAGGGGGCCGUUCGGGCCUCUUGCCAUCGGAUGUGCCCAGAUGGGAUUAGCUAGUAGGUGGGGUAACGGCUCACCUAGGCGACGAUCCCUAGCUGGUCUGAGAGCAUGACCAGCCACACUGGUACUGAGACACGGUCCAGACUCCUACGGGAGGCAGCAGUGGGGAAUAUUGCACAAUGGGCGCAAGCCUGAUGCAGCCAUGCCGCGUGUAUGAAGAAGGCCUUCGGGUUGUAAAGUACUUUCAGCGGGGAGGAAGGCGAUGAGGUUAAUAACCUUGUCGAUUGACGUUACCCGCAGAAGAAGCACCGGCUAACUCCGUGCCAGCAGCCGCGGUAAUACGGAGGGUGCAAGCGUUAAACGGAAUUACUGGGCGUAAAGCGCACGCAGGCGGUCUGUCAAGUCGGAUGUGAAAUCCCCGGGCUCAACCUGGGAACUGCAUUCGAAACUGGCAGGCUAGAGUCUUGUAGAGGGGGGUAGAAUUCCAGGUGUAGCGGUGA
rnacentral:rRNA from 1 species